UUAAUAAGUCGUUUACCAAUAUGUAUAUCCUGGGGAUUGGCCCAGAGUCUCUACCAACUACCGAAAAGAGUUGACUACAUAGUUUAUGUAGCCAGCU
rnacentral:ncRNA from 2 species